CCAAUAGCGUAUAUUAAAGUUGUUGCAGUUAAAAAGCUCGUAGUUGAAUUUCGGGGUCAGUAGGUUGGUCAUGCCACUGGUAUGUACUGGUCUCACUGAUUCCUCCUUCCUGAUGAGCCGUAAUGCCAUUAAUUUGGUGUUGCGAGGAAUCUGGACUGUUACUUUGAAAAAAUUAGAGUGUUUAAAGCAGGCUAACGCUUGAAUACAUUAGCAUGGAAUAAUGAAAUAGGACGUUCGAUCUUAUUUUGUUGGUUUCUAUGAUUGACAUAAUGAUUAAUAGGGAUAGUUGGGGGCAUUAGUAUUCAAUUGUCAGAGGUGAGAUUCUUGGAUUUAUUGAAGACUAACUACUGCGAAAGCAUUUGCCAAGGAUGUUUUCAUUAAUCAAGAACGAAAGUUAGGGGAUCGAAGACGAUCAGAUACCGUCGUAGUCUUAACCAUAAUCUAUGCCGACUAGGGAUCGGAUGAUGUUAAUUUUUUAAUGACUCAUUCGGCGCCUUACG
rnacentral:rRNA from 1 species